UCCCUGAUAGCUCAGUGGAGAAGAGUCUGCCUGCCAUCGCAGGAGACACGGGUUCGAUCCCUGCUCUGGGAA
rnacentral:tRNA from 1 species